CCUACGGGAGGCAGCAGUAGGGAAUCUUUCACAAUGGGCGAAAGCCUGAUGGAGUAACGCCGCGUGCAGGAUGAAGGCCUUCGGGUUGUAAACUGCUUUUAUAAGCGAGAAAUAUGAUGGUAACUUAUGAAUAAGGAUCGGCUAACUACGUGCCAGCAGCCGCGGUCAUACGUAGGAUCCGAGCAUUAUCCGGAGUGACUGGGUGUAAAGAGUUGCGUAGGUGGCAUAAUAAGUAGCUAGUGAAAUCUGGUGGCUCAACCAUUCAGACUAUUAGCUAAACUGUUAAGCUCGAGACCGUUAGGGGUAACUGGAAUUUCUAGUGUAGGAGUGAAAUCCGUAGAUAUUAGAAGGAACACCAAUAGCGUAGGCAGGUUGCUGGGACGGUUCUGACACUAAGGCACGAAAGCGUAGGGAGCAAACGGGAUUAGAUACCCCUGUAGUC
rnacentral:rRNA from 1 species